rnacentral:rRNA from 1 species
UGGGGAAUAUUGGACAAUGGGCGCAAGCCUGAUCCAGCCAUGCCGCGUGAGUGAUGAAGGCCUUAGGGUUGUAAAGCUCUUUCAGCUGGGAAGAUAAUGACGGUACCAGCAGAAGAAGCCCCGGCUAACUUCGUGCCAGCAGCCGCGGUAAUACGAAGGGGGCUAGCGUUGUUCGGAAUCACUGGGCGUAAAGCGCACGUAGGCGGAUCGAUAAGUCAGGGGUGAAAUCCCGAGGCUCAACCUCGGAACUGCCUUUGAUACUGUCGACCUUGAGUCCGGGAGAGGUGAGUGGAACUCCGAGUGUAGAGGUGAAAUUCGUAGAUAUUCGGAAGAACACCAGUGGCGAAGGCGGCUCACUGGCCCGGUACUGACGCUGAGGUGCGAAAGCGUGGGGAGCAAACA